CAGCCACAGAUUUUUGUUUUUAAUCGUAACGUCUUGAAAUGAAAACGACGGCGUUUAACAACUCGCCUUGUUUUUAAUUGUUUCCUACCAAACUCCGAUCCUAAAUUUACAAAACAAAGCAUCUCAACUGCACUGCUUCACCGUCACAAGAAGGAAGACGAAGUUAGAGAUGAUUGAUGAUGAAGUCUUGGGAUUCCUUGCCAACUUUCUUGGCAUUUUCAUUUUUGCUUUGGUUAUAGCAUAUCACUUGGUCGUGGCCGACCCCAAAUAUGAAGCUAGCUAGAAUACUUUGAAUUUUCUGAUGUGUUUGAGACAAAAGGUUUUGAUUGAUUUGGUUCUGUAAGGUCAGCUUAUAUGACUUAAUAUUGGUGAAACCAGAAUUUUGUGGCUUAUGCCAAUUACAUUUUUCAAUAUUUAAAAGCAUGCUUGAAUCUUAUUGUGUC